CCUACGGGAGGCAGCAGUGAGGAAUAUUGGUCAAUGGACGCAAGUCUGAACCAGCCAUGCCGCGUGCAGGAAGACGGCCCUAUGAGUUGUAAACUGCUUUUGUACGAGGGUAAACGCAGAUACGCGUAUCUGUCUGAAAGUACAGUAUGAAUAAGGAUCGGCUAACUCCGUGCCAGUAGCCGCGGUAAUACGGAGGAUUCAAGCGUUAUCCGGAUUUAUUGGGUUUAAAGGGUGCGUAGGCGGUCGGAUAAGUUAGAGGUGAAAUCCCGAGGCUCAACUUCGGAAUUGCCUCUGAUACUGUUCGGCUAGAGAGUAGUUGCGGUAGGCGGAAUGUAUGGUGUAGCGGUGAAAUGCUUAGAGAUCAUACAGAACACCGAUUGCGAAGGCAGCUUACCAAGCUACUUCUGACGUUGAGGCACGAAAGCGUGGGGAGCAAACAGGAUUAGAUACCCGUGUAGUC
rnacentral:rRNA from 1 species